UGGGGAAUAUUGCACAAUGGGCGAAAGCCUGAUGCAGCAACGCCGCGUGCGGGAUGACGGCCUUCGGGUUGUAAACCGCUUUCACUCAUGACGAAGCUUUUUGUGACGGUAGUGGGAGAAGAAGCACCGGCUAACUACGUGCCAGCAGCCGCGGUGAUACGUAGGGUGCGAGCGUUGUCCGGAUUUAUUGGGCGUAAAGAGCUUGUAGGCGGUUUGUCACGUCGGGAGUGAAAACUCAGGGCUUAACCCUGAGCCUGCUUCUGAUACGGGCAGACUUGAGGAAGGUAGGGGAGAAUGGAAUUCCUGGUGGAGCGGUGGAAUGCGCAGAUAUCAGGAGGAACACCAGUGGCGAAGGCGGCUCUCUGGACCUUUCCUGACGCUGAGAAGCGAAAGCGUGGGGAGCAAACAGGCUUAGAUACCCUGGUAGUCCACGCCGUAAACGGUGGGUACUAGCUGUGGGGGACAUUCCACGUUCUCCGUGCCGCAGCUAACGCAUUAAGUACCCCGCCUGGGGAGUACGGUCGCAAGACUA
rnacentral:rRNA from 1 species